rnacentral:rRNA from 1 species
GUGGGGAAUCUUCCGCAAUGGACGAAAGUCUGACGGAGCGACGCCGCGUGAGUGAUGAAGGCCUUCGGGUCGUAAAGCUCUGUCAUCGGGGACGAACGGCCUCAGCAGGUAAUGGCUGGGGAUUGACGGUACCCGAGAAGGAAGCCACGGCUAACUACGUGCCAGCAGCCGCGGUAAUACGUAGGUGGCAAGCGUUGUCCGGAAUUAUUGGGCGUAAAGCGCGCGCAGGUGGGAUCUUAAGUCCAUUUUGAAAGUUCGGAGCUCAACUCCGUGAUGGGAUGGAAACUGGGAUUCUUGAGUACCGGAGAGGAAAGCGGAAUUCCCCGUGUAGCGGUGAAAUGCGUAGAUAUGGGGAGGAACACCAGUGGCGAAGGCGGCUUUCUGGACGGUGUCUGACACUGAGGCGCGAAAGCCAGGGGAGCGAACGGGAUUAGAAACCCUGGUAGUCC